rnacentral:rRNA from 1 species
CAGUAGCCGCGGUAAUACGGAGGGUGCAAGCGUUAAUCGGAAUUACUGGGCGUAAAGCGCACGCAGGCGGUUUGUUAAGUCAGAUGUGAAAUCCCCGGGCUCAACCUGGGAACUGCAUUUGAAACUGGCAAGCUAGAGUCUCGUAGAGGGGGGUAGAAUUCCAGGUGUAGCGGUGAAAUGCGUAGAGAUCUGGAGGAAUACCGGUGGCGAAGGCGGCCCCCUGGACGAAGACUGACGCUCAGGUGCGAAAGCGUGGGGAGCAAACAGGAUUAGAGACCCCGGUAGUCCCUGUCUCUUAUAC